UGGAGAGUUUGAUCCUGGCUCAGAUUGAACGCUGGCGGCAUGCCUUACACAUGCAAGUCGAACGGCAGCAUGAUCUAGCUUGCUAGAUUGAUGGCGAGUGGCGAACGGGUGAGUAAUACAUCGGAACGUGCCCUGUAGUGGGGGAUAACUAGUCGAAAGAUUAGCUAAUACCGCAUACGACCUGAGGGUUGAAAGCGGGGGACCGCAAGGCCUCAUGCUAUAGGAGCGGCCGAUGUCUGAUUAGCUAGUUGGUGAGGUAAAGCUCACCAAGGCGACGAUCAGUAGCUGGUCUGAGAGGACGAUCAGCCCACACUGGGACUGAGACACGGCCCAGACUCCCUACGGGAGGCAGCAGUGGGGAAUUUUGGACAAUGGGGGCAACCCUGAUCCAGCAAUGCCGCGUGUGUGAAGAAGGCCUUCGGGUUGUAAAGCACUUUUGUCCGGAAAGAAAUCGCACUUACUAAUAUUAGGUGUGGAUGACGGUACCGGAAGAAUAAGGACCGGCUAANUACGUGCCAGCAGCCGCGGUAAUACGUAGGGUCCAACCGUUAAUCGGAAUUACUGGGCGUAAAGCGCACGCAGGA
rnacentral:rRNA from 1 species